rnacentral:rRNA from 1 species
UACGUAGGUGGCAAGCGUUGCCCGGAAUCAUUGGGCGUAAAGCGCGCGUAGGCGGCCCGAUAAGUCCGCUGUAAAAGUCCAGGGCUCAACCCUGGAAAGCCGGUGGAUACUGUCGGGCUAGAGUCCGGAAGAGGCGAGUGGAAUUCCAGGUGUAGCGGUGAAAUGCGUAGAUAUCUGGAGGAACACCGGUGGCGAAGGCGGCAUCCUGGACCGGUAUUGACACUGAGGCGCGAAAGCCAGGGGAGCAAACGGG